rnacentral:lncRNA from 1 species
GUUGUGCGACUGAGAGUGUAUUUUUUGGUAUGAAAAGUCAAAAAUACCCUCUGAAUUUCUUAUAUAAAUAAAGAUAAAUCUAAUUGGUGCUUAAUAUAAAUAAUUCAAAUUUUUGGAUCAAAUUGCAAUUUUCAAAAUUUCUUAAAACAAACAAAAGAAUACAGUAAAAAAAAAAAAAAAAAUCUGAAGGAAUACGUCUUCCCCAAAUUUCUUCCAUCGCCUCCACUCUGCUCGCCGGUGACACCGUCCGUAGCAGAGGUUAAUUCCUAUUCACCUUCAAGACUAUCUCCUCCUCCAUCGCCAAUUUCUCUUUGCCACCACAGAGUUCUUGAAGAACCCCAGCCCUCCGGCAUUCAUUGAUAAUGGAGGAUCUUCAGCCCUUGCGUGCUUCAACCACGGUUUUCUGGCAAGAACGACGACUACGGGUAAGUUCUUCCGGCGAGAUUUAAGGGUGACGGCUGGGCCAAGGUAGGUUCGACGGGGGCAGAUGUUUUCCGGCCAAAUCUUCCGGCGAGUUCUAAAGGUGGGGAUUUGGUUCGAAGUAGAUUUGAUAGGAGAAAGUGUUUUCCGGACAAAUUGAACGGAAACACUUUUGAUUCCGGCGAGUUGUGAGGCAUUAAUAUUGAAAAAUAUUAAGAAUCAAAGAGGAUAAAUGUCGUCUUCUUCUUAGAGAUUUAAAUGAAGAAUUAUCAUCUUAUUUUUCAUUCUUUUGCAGCCCCUUCUUUUUUCUUUCUUUUUCCUUUUUUUU